GAACGCCGGAUGCGGUGAAAGUCGCACGUCCGGUGUGGAGUGGGGGAAAAUCCGGCGAUAACUUCAAAGGAUUACCUAUCACUAU
rfam:Clostridium sp. D5 genomic scaffold supercont1.9, whole genome shotgun sequence.